AGAAAAGUUACCACAGGGAUAACUGGCUUGUGGCGGC
rnacentral:piRNA from 2 species